UACAGAGGGUGCAAGCGUUGUUCGGAAUUAUUGGGCGUAAAGCGCGUGUAGGCGGCUUUGCAAGUCGGGUGUGAAAGCCCUCAGCUCAACUGAGGAAGUGCGCCCGAAACUGCAGAGCUUGAGUACCGGAGAGGAUGGUGGAAUUCCCCAAGUAGAGGUGAAAUUCGUAGAUAUGGGGAGGAACACCAGUGGCGAAGGCGGCUUCCUGGCCUGUUCUUGACGCUGAGGCGCGAAAGCUAGGGGAGCAAACGGG
rnacentral:rRNA from 1 species